AUAAAAUUUGAUCUCGUAAUGUAGCUAUAUAUUACGUACGUAUCAUCUAGCCACGAGCAGUCACUUAGUUUACCGUAAAACCUUCCACUGUGCAUCAUUAUAUUGAAGAAGUCAACUGACCAAGCCACGAGCAGUCACUUAGUUUACCGUAAAACCUUCCACUGUGCAUCAUUAUAUUGAAGAAGUCAAUUGACCAAGGAACAACGAAAUGAAGUGUAUGACGUAUGUUAUCAUUUUGCUUGCUGUUUUUCAUUGUUC